rnacentral:rRNA from 1 species
UUUUUCCAUUUAUUUACUAUUAUUUUAUUUUCAUUUUUUUUCUUUUAGCUUUGACUUAGUGAGUUUUGUUUUUUUUUUGAGGAAGUUAAAGUGUAACAAGGUUUCCGUAGGUGAACCUGCGGAAGGAUCAUUAACGAGUAACUGAACAGGUUUCCCCUGGCCUUUCGGCGCAUGUGCACGCCUGGCUCAUCCACUCUUCAACCUCUGUGCACUUGUUGUAGGUCGGUCGAAGGGUCACUGUGUAAACGGUGACUUGGAAGCCUUCCUAUGUUUUACUACAAACGCUUCAGUUUAAGAAUGUAAUCUCUGCGUAUAACGCAUUUAUAUACAACUUUCAGCAACGGAUCUCUUGGCUCUCGCAUCGAUGAAGAACGCAGCGAAAUGCGAUAAGUAAUGUGAAUUGCAGAAUUCAGUGAAUCAUCGAAUCUUUGAACGCACCUUGCGCUCCCUGGUAUUCCGGGGAGCAUGCCUGUUUGAGUGUCAUGGUAUUCUCAACCUUCAUAACUUUUUUGUUAUCGAAGGCUUGGACUUGGAGGCUUGUGCUGGCUUACUUGCUUAAGUCGGCUCCUCUUAAAUGUAUUAGCGUGAGUGUAACGGAUCGCUUCGGUGUGAUAAUUAUCUGCGCCGUGGUCGUGAAGUAACAUAAGCUUGCGCUUCUAACCGUCCUUCAGUUGGACAAUACACUUUGACAUCUGACCUCAAAUCAGGUAGAUUACCCAGCUCUU